rnacentral:rRNA from 1 species
AUUGAACGCUGGCGGAAGGCUUUACACAUGCAAGUCGAACGGCAGCACGGACUUCGGUCUGGUGGCGAGUGGCGAACGGGUGAGUAAUGUAUCGGAACGUGCCCAGUCGUGGGGGAUAACGUAGUGAAAAUUACGCUAAUAGCGCAUACGAUCUAUGGAUGAAAGCGGGGGAUCGCAAGACCUCGCGCGAUUGGAGCGGCAAAUCUCAGAUUAGGUAGUUGGUGGGGUAAAGGCACACCAAGUCAACGAUCUGUAGCUGGUCUGAGAGGACGACCAGCCACACUGGAACUGAGACACGGUCCAGACUCCUACGGGAGGCAGCAGUGGGGAAUUUUGGACAAUGGGCGAAAGCCUGAUCCAGCCAUUCCGCGUGCAGGAUGGAGGCCCUCGGGUUGUAAACUGCUUUUGUACAGAACGAAAAUGUUUCUACUAAUACUAGGAGCUCAUGACGGUACUGUAAGAAUAAGCACCGGCUAACUACGUGCCAGCAGCCGCGGUAA